ACCUGGGCUGGUGUCACAAGCAAAGGAGGGGCCAAAGUGCUGUUGCACAAACCUCUUGGGUGCAUAUAAUGCCUGAAUAAAGACUAGGGUUGUCUCAAGGCAGUUUGCUGCCUGAGGUGAAGGACAAGAUGGCAGCCACCACUGUUCCACAUACAGAAGCCAUUUGGAACAGCAGUGAAAUCUUACUUCAGUACUGGCAAUGUGCUCCACUGUGCCUGAGGGCAACAGACCACAUACAGCUCUGUCCUCCAACAGAUGAAUAUGAGUCAGGGGGCUCAGGACAUGCAGUUUUCCCUGCCCACCCCCCUUACCUCACACUGUCUAAUAGUAGGGCUGGUCCUGGUAAAGAAGGAGCGUAGAGGAUUUUGAGGCAACAGGGGGGAAAGUUGGAGAAAAGUCGUCUCAGCUGCCUGCUGCCAAGGUAAAUAAUACAUCUUAAGUAUAUCAUACAGAUGUGAUUUGAUAUUUCCUUCUGUUAGUUCAGUUGACUGCUUUUGUGGCCUGCCUUCUAGAAUACUGUAGAAUGUUCUGGAGUAAUAUUUUUUUUCUUAACCAGGGGAGAGACAGAGAAGCACCACUGUAAACAAAACAAAACAAAAAAGAUGAACCUCCAGUGUGUUGAAAAAUAGUUCUUGAAAAUGUUGGCUUGAGGAUGGUGGACUUUCCCUUGAUUGAAAACCAAAAACUUACUAUUGCCCCUGGGGAACAGCACUGCUCAAAACAUGUCAAGCACAAAUGAGGUUCUUCUGAACCUACAUAUAUUGCAGUCUUUCCCUAAAUUGUGGGUGCAGGUGGGGAGUGAAGUGGAGAGAGAGAGAGAGAGAGAGAGAGAGAGAGAGAGAGCUGUGGGGCUCUGUUGUUCUUCUCCACACAGUUACAAUAAGGUAGGGAAACAUCUGAAAAAGGGUACAUUUCCAUCUGUGAACUGGACUCUGAUAGCCAUGUGUUCAGCAUCCUUUCUGGGAGACAUCUGCUUCUAACUAGCAACUGCUGGGAACUGCUGGUGAAUAUAACUGGCUUGCCCUUAUUGUGAACUUCUCUUGGGCGCUGCAUUGGCUACUAGCAGCAGAUUACUGAGGUAGCUGACUGACUCCGUGGCUUUCAUGUUUUUCUAGCUCUAGAGAGCCUUUUACUACCAUGACUUUGGUACCAAGAAACCCCGGGGAAAUCUGCUGAGGAAACUUUGAAUAUUGCAACGAGCUGUGAGACAGGAUGGAAAGGAGGUAGGGUGAGAUCUAGUGGUAGAUUCUGGGCAAUCAAGCAAGGGUUUCUGUUUUAUGAUUGUGUGACAAAAAACAGCAAAAACAAAAGAAACGACAGUAAGGCUCCCAUCUAAUUCUAAACUAGAUGGUUAAAACUAAGAAAUGAGAAGCUGUGAAGUCAGUUCUGCUUAGGGGUGGGUGAAUUUGCAUUUCUCUCAUUUUGCCAUCUUAAGUUUAGUUCUCCACAUUUCUACAUCACUUUGCGAUAUUUUUUUUUUUAAAUUCCACAUGAAAAUCCAUUAGCAUCUUAAUGCUAAUGUUACCAAACUGUAUGCAAAUAUUAUUUCCCCUAAUAUAAUGCAUUUUUUGCAUGUUCUCUGUAAUUUUUUUAUGCAUGCUUUACCCCGGUGUACACACUUUUCCUACACACUGUUUGGCUGGGGAACUGCAUUGCAAAAUUUAAAGAAGCGCAAAUUUUGAAAGAUGGCUGUGUUCCUGUGUUGCUUUUGGAACGUGCAGAUUUCCUAGCUUCACCUUCAAAUGUCAACUGAAUUGAAUUUCUUCUUUAGCCCUAGUUCUGGUACUGAAUACAAAAUGGCACCCUUUUCAUAUAUUCCGUAUUGCAUGUCCUCCUCUCUCUGUAUUUUGCACCUUACUCUGGCUGGAAGAUUUUGGGGGUCAAGUAAAAAGACAAGAUGGGGGUGCUGCAAGCUUGACAUCUGCCCAGUCCUGUCCUUGGAUUUUUGCUGUCACCUUAACAUGAACUGAGUGUGUCCUUAGAAGGCACCCAACCUUGUGCAUUUCAGAGGGAGUUUGUUGAUGUCGCUGGGCAAGCUGCCUUUCAGUAAAGCCGUUCUACCAUUACUGAUCUUUCCACUGAUGAAGAAACCUGGAACACAGUGUGAAAACCAGUACAGUAUUCUAAUAAACACCUUCUGUGUGUUACCUGUUGGGGCAAGCCACAAUUCGGAUUAUCCUAUCGUUUUCUGUAAAGUUGCUGCACAUUUUCUGCUCAGCUUGGUGUGCCAAGAAUGCUACAGGCUAACCUGGGCAGGUUUUUAAGAGACCUCUUGCUGCUUAUUGUCACAGCUGGUUACAUUAAGCCAGUGUGGUGUAAUGGUGAGAGUGUUGGACUAGGACAUGGGAGACCAGGGUUUGAAUCCCCACUCUGCCAUGAAUUUCAUUGGGUGACCUUGGGCCAGUCACUAUCCUUUAGCCUAACCUACCUCACAGGGUUGUUAUGAGGGUGAAAUGGGGAGGGAAGGGAACCAUGUCCACCACCUUGAGCUCCUUGGAAGAAAAAGGUGGUAUAUAAAUGCAAUAAACAAAUAAAACUUUUAAUACUGGUGGUAGUGAAGGUAUCAUGGGUAAUGGAAUUGAGGCCAAUGCUGGCUCUCCAAACCCUUCUGUCUUGCCCUAGGGCAGUGUUUCUCAACCUGUGGGCCUGUGGGUCCCCAGAUGUUGUUGGACUACAACUCCCAUCAUUCCUAGCCAGCAUGAUCAAUGGGCAGGGAUGAUGGGAGUUGUAGUCCAACAACAUCUGGGGACCCACAGGUUGAGAACCACUGCCCUAGGGGCUUUUGCCACACCACACUCCUACUCUGCAAGCUCCCUAGCUGUUUUUUCCUCACUGUAAUGUGUCACCGAACCUCUUGCUUCCCUGGAUGGAGAAUGCAAGUCCCCACACUCCCCUCCGUUGCUAGUAAGCAAGAACCACAAAUGUAGGAGCUGCUGUCAAUCAGUUUGGGCAAUACUGAGCUAGAGGGAGCUAUGUUCCGACUCAGAAUUAAUACCCUUCAACAUUUCUCUGGUGAAAAUAGGGACAUGCUAAGGAAAAGCGGGACAUUACGGGAUCAAAUCAGAAACCAGGAUGUAAAUCCAAGAUUGUCCCUGGAAAAUAGGGUCUGAUGCCACUUCCUGUCUGUUCCUGUGGCCUGCUAGUGCCAAUUACAGAAUGUUUAUUCAUGCUAUUAAAAUAGAUUCUGUUUUGAUCGUAUGUCCCUUUUGGAUGGUGAAUAUUAGAAAUGGAGAGAGCUGGGCUCGGAGUCUCCUUCUAGCUUUCAUUAUGCCUUUCAUAACACUUCAAUCAAACUGUGUUGCUCUCUGUUGUUGAUUUAACCUUUGUUGGCGCUAAGAGCUUUAAUUGGCUGCUCAUUUGGCCCUUUUCUUAGAAGCUAAUGCACCAUUACUGGCGUAGGAAGAGGGGCUCUUUGCCAGGCUAAACAGUUGGGAGUUUUCAAAGUGACAAAGCAUAUUACCAAUAGUUUGUGCUUUCCACACAAAGGGCCCCUUCAUAGGUUAUUCCCAGGGCCAAGAAGCAGCAAAAGACCUGGAUGUCUCAGCAGCAUGUUCACCUUGUUCUGCUGGUUGACACAUCACUGAUGUGGUCCAAAGGAAAGCAGAGCAAUACGUUUGGCACCAGCUUGGCUGAAGAAGUCACCAGAAGUUGUAUAAGGCACCGUCCAACCAUCUUAGGGACUCCACUCUGGAUUUGUGUAGGGUUUAUUCCUUAGCCUUUUCUUCUCCCAAAGAUAUCCCACAAGGCAGCAGAGGUUUAGGAUCAGAGUUUUCCUUGUCCUGGAUGGGCUACCUUCCCCAUCUGCCUCUCACUUCCCUCUACAACAUGUGCAAAAGCCACCUUCUUGACCGUUGGACCCACUAUUGGUCUCAUCCACUCAAUCCGCUGCAGCCUGUCUUUGCAUAUAGGAGAAGUCCCUAACUCACUAAUGGCUUGAGACCCAUCAGCUCCCCUCACCUGGUUCAGACAGCCAGUCAAAGCCAUUUCCCAGAGUGUGGUCGCUGUCACAUCCUAACAGCUUCUAGGAGCCACAGGUGAGAGCUCAGUGCGGGGUGGUGGCCAAAGGUGGGAAAACUACCCUAGGAGGAGCAUGACGCCCCCUACCAGAGGCACUACCCCUCCCCUAAUGCCCCAUACACCCCAAUUAUGUGAGUGGAUUUCAUAGGAGCCACCUCCUAGGGGCCAAGGUCCCAUAGAUUAUUUGAGGGGGCUGGAGGUCCCCAAAGUUCAUGGGCAUUGCGACUCAAAUAGUGUCCAUGAGUGAUCACAUCUUGUGAUCCAUUAUGCAGGGUAGGGCUUACCUGCCGCCCCCCAAUAUUUUAUUCAGGUUGACACCCUUGUUGGACGUCAAAUAAUUCUCCCUUGCCCCCAAAAAGCAAAUGAAAAAUAUAAAGCCUUUGCAAAGCGUCAUGACUCCUGCCUCUUUGCAAAAGUUUAACAUGUUGUUUAGUCGUUUAGUCGUGUCCGACUCUUCAUGACCCCAUGGACCAGAGCACUCCAGGCACUCCUGUCUUCCACUGCCUCCCACAGUUUGGUCAUACUCAUGUUUGUAGCUUCGAGAACACUGUCCAACGAUCUCGUCCUCUGUCGUCCCCUUCUUCUUGUGCCCUUCAUCUUUCCCAACAUCAGGGUCUUUCCCAGGGAGUCUUCUCUUCUCAUGAGGUGGCCAAAGUAUUGGAGCCUCAGCUUCACGAUCUGUCCUUCCAGUGAGCACUCAGGGCUGAUUUCCUUAAGAAUGGAUACGUUUGAUCUUCUUGCAGUCCAUGGGACUCUCAAGAGUCUCCUCCAGCACCAUAAUUCAAAAGCAUCAAUUCUUUGGCGAUCAGUUUAACAUACUUAGGGCCAUUUACUCACCAAGAAACUUGCCUGGCUCCUUCAGCCGCUCAGAGAUUGGGGUGGCAGGCCACAGAAUUAUUCUGCUCUGCAAGAGUUGCAUAUGUUCCACAUGCCUCUGGAGCCCGACAUCUCCCCAUAGGAGAGAGACAUGAAUUGCCUUUUGGAUGUUUAUGCAUCCGUUUUUCACUUUUCAUUGCACUAUCUGUAGGGUGAACCCAUAAUAAAGUGAGGAGGGAGUGAAGUGAUGGAUGAUCUGCCACUCCAAAUCCCUGCUGGCUUGUUUCCCGGGAGCAGAUCUUUGCAUUCUGAAAUCCACUCCUGUUGAAACCAAUGGGCACAAAUUAGCUACGUAAGCUCCAGCCUUAAUAUAGUUGAUGGGCCUGAUCCUGGGGCCUCUUGUGCGAAUGAAAGAAGCUUUGGUUCCAGCGGAUGCAUGACCAUCCGGCAACCUGCGCUAGAACGCCUUGUUUGGGGGCUUGCUUUGGCGGUUCCCUCACUGUGAGAAGCAAAGCUACAGGGAACCAGGCAGAGGGCCUUCUUGGUAGUGGCGCCCACCCUGUGGAAUGCCCUCCCAUCAGAUGUCAAAGAGAUAAAAAGCUACCUGACAUUCAGAAGACUUCUGAAGACAGCCAUGUUCAGGGAAGUUUUUAAUGUGUGACAUUUUAAUGUAUUUUUAAUCUUUGUUGGCAGCCGGCCAGAGUGGCUGGGGAACAAAUAACAAAAAUUAUUAUUAUUAUUAUUAUUAUUAUUAUUAUUAUUAUUAUUACUGCUUGUGGAAAAAUCGCAAGGGGCAGGGUUGCCCCUGCCGAGCUCUCUGCAGUUAUACAGAAACUUUCUGCAAUGAGUGCACACAGAUACAUAUUUAUGGAAGGGCAAACACAGAAGUUGCCCAUGGUGCCAAAUUUGAGGCAGCAGCAUUUUCCUGCCUUGCCACUUACAGGCUGCCCUCCUCCCAGACUAGAUAUAUGCACAGGAAGGCAUAUGUUGUUGUGCUGCCGCCGCCACCAUUGCCAUUGAAUAGGAGCAAUUUGUCUCCAAGGUUGAAGCAUAAAAUUACCCAGCAUGCAGUAACACACAUAGCAUGCUGGUUGACUUUGUGCCCUCCACCACUGGGCAAGGGAUGCUGAUCACUCAUAUUGCAGAAGGGCAGCGACUGCACUGCACACCUUCCCACCAAAAAUAAUGGCGAAGGAACAAGUGGAAUAGAUCACUUGCUUGCUCACUCCUGUUUGAGAGCAUUGAGAGUGGAAGGACAGGUGCUAGUGGUGGCUUUUGCACAGGCUAGUAAUGCAUUCUCUUUCUCCCCUUGCCGGAGUGAUAAAAACUUCAGGGUUCAGGCGAAGAGGUCCGAGAGGAUCUCCUCUCCACGCUCCCAGGACAGCUUGCUGAAGAGUAGGAAGAAUCCCUUUACUUGUGUAGUCUUUGAGAUCAAAAUGUGGCAUAACACUAUUAUAAAACCUUUAUGGGAAGGUCAUCCCCCCCCAAGGCCCCCCAGAAUGCUCAACCUGGCUCCCACCCUUUUAGGUCAGUAAUUCCACAAUUGGGCGUCAUGCCACAGUUAAGAACUGCAGCGAACUCCAAAGGAAGUUGGGUUUUUUCUGGGAUUAGCUGCAGGUAUAACCUGUUAUCCUUGUUUCACCAGCCUUUAGCCAUCAAUCCGCAGAUGAGAGAGAGGCAGCCUUCAUUGAAAAGGACUCAUUUGAAACUGAAAAUAUGAACAGAGAGUGUCAGCUACUGCUUUGGUGUCUUCUUUUUUAAAAAAAGAUCACUUUAAAAGGGUAGGAUCACUUUUAGUGUGUUUAUGUUUUGUUGUGCUUUCACUCUCUUUUGUAUUUGCGUUGUGUCUCCCCCCCCCAAUAAAUUACCUAAAGACUUUUCUCUGUAUCGUGAUGAACAAACAACAAUAAUAACAACGAUACAUCGUAAUUAUUAAUAUGACCACUAAUGGAAAUACAAUAAAAUAAUAAUAUUCAUAAUAAUGUAUAUGGGUAUAUGUAUAUGGUGGUUCCCUCAGGGAACCAGACAGAGGGCCUUCUUGGUAGUAGCGCCUGCCCUGUGGAAUACCCUCCCACCAGAUGUCAAGGAAAUAAGCAGCUAUCUUCUUUUUAAAAGACGUCUGAAGGCAGCCCUGUUUAGGGAAGUUUUUAAUAUUUAAUGCUGUAUUGUUUUUAACACUUACCGGUAAUUGGGAGCCGCCCAGAGUGGCUGGGGAAACUCAGCCAGAUGGACGUGGUAUUAAUAUUAUUAUUAUCAUUAUUAUUAUUUUAUUAAUUCUUGCUUACCUCCAGAAGGUUGUCCUUGUUUGCCUGAACCUCUUACAUACCCCACGUUUUAAUAGCUCUGUCAUACAUUCCAAACAUAUUAGGUGAACAUUUGCUCCUUUUAAAGAUGUAACAUCAGAAUAUAAAUGUCAUAAAUUGAAGGAUAUGAGGGAGACAUCUAAAAGACAUCUGCAAGCCCUUCCUAUCUUCUUCUGCCCUUAACACGCUUAUUUGAAUACAAUUUUUCAAACUUUUCCUCUGAAAUGCUGCAUAAUAAAUACAGAAUCUUAGCCAUAUCUCUCUGAUACAUCUUGAGAUGUUUUUGAUUCACAAGUAGAGAAACCCCUCUGCAAGUACUGCUGAGCUGCCUGACAGAUUUAAUUAAUUUACUGACAAGGGCAAAGACAAUCAUUGUGUGUUGAGCAACUUAAUGAAAGCUGGAUUAUGUGACGUCUGCUCUCGGGUGGGUUAUAUUGAUGCCUUUUGCAUGGGGGCAAGUCAAGCAGGAGACCUUUGGCCCUGGAAUCCCUCUUGGGGGGAAUUCCUGGGGUUCUUCUGAUAGCUGGAGAGGGGACAAGUAGUGACCUGAGCUCUUGCCUGAGGCCAUCGCUUUGAAGAGACUGAACGUUUCACCCCUGUGUGUAUCCAAAGGGAACUGGCCGCCGUCGGAGGGUCUCAGAGGGUAGCAGCUCACUAGCACUGGCAGAAUUGACUAACCAAGAUGACAGUGGCCACAAGAGGGUUUCCCCUCUCCCCUCCAGGAUACAAUGUGAGGGCGUUCUAUUAACUUUACAUCUUUCAUAAAUACACACACACACACACACACACACACACACACACAGUUAUACAGUGGUACCUUGGUUCCUGGACGGCUUAGUUUACGAACAAAUCGGCUCCCAAAUGCCACAAACCUGGAAGUAAGUGUUCCGGUUUGUGAACAUUUUUCGGAAGCUGAACGCCCAUUUCGGGUGUCGGCAUUGUUUCCGGAGCCAACCAGACGCCGUGCCUUGGUUUUCAAACGUUUUGGAAGUCAAACAAACUUCCAGAACGGAUUGAGUUCGAGAACUACCACUGUAUAGUUAUAUAGUUAUAGAUUUAGGGUAAACCCUAGAAAUUAAUAAAUUCUAGGAUUGUGAUUAUUUGGGGUGGGAAGGGAGAGAUAUAAGCUGAAGAAGAAUUCCUGGCUAAGCUGGCCAAGCUGGGGCCAUUGAGAGGUCAUUGUGGGUUGUUGCCAAUGCAAGAAAACUCCCCACACCUCCUCUGAGGUGUGAACAGAGACGGGGUUUGAAAGGUUUGAGAGGUGAUGGGCUGUGCCUUUGAGGGGACAGAAAAAGGGUUUCCUGGGAGGAAGAAACAGGAAGAAGGGGUGGGAUCCAUUUUGGGGAAGGCUGGCAACAGGCAGCUUACACUGCUGCCUCUGGGAAUGACUAUGCCGUAAGAUCUAGACUCCCUCCAUGCAGACUGAAGGUGUAAACAGGUGAAUAAACUGUAUUUCUUAAAGCACGACAGUCUGUGCUGUGUCUUCUGUUCUCCAAAGUGACACAGACCCCGUGUGUGUUUGUCUGGGACCCCAUGGGCUCUUGCCACCCACCGCUUGGUGCAGAGAGGAGCAGGCACCCGGUUUUCAUAACAAUAUCAUGCAAGAAGGAGCUAGUAAUAUGCUCUGUAAGGUUCAUCCACCAAAACAAAACUUCCCUAUUCAAGGUUGCCUUCAAAUAUGCCGCUGGUUGAAAAUUAAGAUAGGAAUCUGAGCUGAAGGGGGUGUAGCUAUGCUCGUUGUGAACUGCUGUUGCAAACAGCCGGUGUUAAUGAUGCGAUUGCGAGUCCUGUACAGUCUCCACUUAAUUUCCUUCUGACGUUUCUGACCUUUCUGACUCCACACACACCAACACUUAAACUGCUUUACACUUUCUUACUCUUUAAGAUGCCACAAGAUAACCUUGCUUCUUCAGAAAAAGAAAAAAACACAUUUAGGAGUUCAUAGGAACAUUGACAUCAACACAGAAAACCUGUACAGCCAGUGCUAUUUUUCUAGAAAAAGGGGAGCAGGAACUCACUAUGGAAGGCCUCCCUUGUUCUCUUAGAAUGGCAAUGGCGCCCACCUGAGAGGUGCCAAAACUGAGUUUUCAGGCUGGGGGAAAAAAAGCUCUGUGUGCAGCGUUGCUUGUCUAGCAUAUAAAGCAAUUGGGUAGAAGUGGGGAGCAAUGUGCCACAAAUGGGGAGCAGGGACACCAACACAAAGCAGGUUAACUUCCCCAGUCUCUGCUUUCAACAGAAACAGACACACUUUGUUCCCCAAUCUCUGUAUUUAAGGCACAGGAUGUGAUGGGAGUUGCAGUCCACCAAAGUAAAAAGUGGAAGGAUCCUCUCUUCACAUCAAGAAAACGCCUUUUCAAACUGCUACUUUACAUACAGACGUUAUUUAUUCCCCUAGCUCUGCAUUGUUUGUGAAGAGUUUCUGGAAAUUGUAACUCUUGUGAAGUAUAAACCACACGGAAUUCUUUGAGGGAAAGCAUGUUUUUUAAAGAGAGAGAGAGAGAGAGAGAGAGAGAGAGGGAGCUAUAUAUGAAUGAAUAGUUGUUACACAGGCUAAAAUGUCUUAUUUCCAGCUUUUGGAGUGGUUCCAUCAAACAGUAGACCACUGCCGUUCAUGCAUAGAAUGAGUCACAGCAUAAGACAACCUAUAAAACAUUUAACACCAGUUCAAGAGGAUGGAAGGGCGUGCCUGCAAGCCACACCUGUGUAUUAUUUACCCAGACUUGUGUGGAUUCCUCCCCCGCCCUGGUUUCACUUACAAUUCAAAAGUAUCUAGCAGGCAGGAAGGCUAAAGACAUGGAGAGAACAAGCAUCUCCAAGGCUGGCUUUGAACUUAGCAGCCCCUCUCCCUGUUCCCGCCCCCCUCCGGCACUAUCAAUAAGCAGCAGACAUGUGCAGUUAAAAGAAGAAAGGUAUAAUUACCAGGCCCUCUCCCUAUAAUCUGUCUCUCUCAAGGUGCAAUUGGUUUAUACCUUGGUAUGUAAAUUACUGGUUAAAGACGUUUAAACUGGUCACAUCAAAGAUCUUGCCUAAAAAGAACAUCAAAAGAGACUCUUUCAAAAUUAGUACUAGAAUGAGAUGUUCCCUUUUAAAAAAAAAAAAAAAAACAAGGAAGGACUUGAUCCCAUGAGCUGCUUCCUGCUCGGGCAAGUAAAAAUGCAGGGUAGAAUAUGCCUCCACAAUGUGUGGGUCUCUGGACGUUGAACAGAGCCCACUAGCCACAAAAUGUACUAGCUCGCCAAGGGGCUGAUAAAUGUCAUAUGUUUUCUGCCUUGCAUGGGAGGGUGAAAUAAUAGUGUUACGAAAGUUGGGUGCCACCUGCACUCUCUGCCGAGUGAUUCCAGGGGGUUCCAGGCACUCACCCAGGUUCUGUGUUCCUUUGGAGAACUGAGACACGGCGGAGACUGUCAUAGUUUUAAGAAAUACAGCAGUAUCUCGGGUUAAGUACUUAAUUCGUUCCGGAGGUCCGUACUUAACCUGAAACUGUUCUUAACCUGAAGCACCACUUUAGCUAAUGGGGCCUCCUGCUGUUGCCGCACCGCCGGAGCAAGAUUUCUGUUCACAUCUUGAAGCAAAGUUAUUAACCUGAAGCACUAUUUCUGGGCUAGCGGAGUCUGUAACCUGAAGCGUAUGUAACCUGAGAUACCACUGUAUGGUUUAUUCGCCUAUUUGAACCUUCAGUCUGUGUGGAGGGAGUCCAGAUCUUAUAGCAUGGUUAUUCUGAGAGGGACUUGACAUGGAGUCGAUGGCAUCUUCAGCCAGCCAGCCCAAGACAGAUCCCAGCCUUUUUUCUUCUCUUCUUCUUCUUCCCAGCACACCUUGCUCUAAAGACUCCAUUUUCCUGUCAUUGCGAACUCAUACCCCAUCACCAUGGCAACCUCUGUUUGCCCAGGCUCUCAGAUGAGCCAUCAACACCUUUUGUCAUGUUAAUGCCUCUAUCCCAGGUGAGGCCCUGGCUUGGAAAGGAAGCUUAGCCUGUGCUUUUCCACUGGCCUCCAGUCUUCCCUUCAGUACUCCAAAUAAUCAAAAUCAUUUCUCAUUUAUUAGUUUCUGUUGUUGUUGCCACAAUACAUUUGCUGGACUGCAAUGGUCUCAUUGGGUCAUAAAUUGGCGUGGGGCUCGGUUGAAGGCUCUUGUGUGGAUAUACAAAGUCCUGAACAACUUGUGUCCAGGAUACCUUACGGACUGCCUGGGCUUUUAUAUCCCAGAUUGAUCAACAAGUGCUGCUGGUUGUCCUCCAUAUUGCAAAGGCCUGAUCCGCCUUAACAAGAAGCUGGGCAUUUAGUGCCACCAUCUCAAUGCUGUUGAACACUCUUCUAGCCAAGAUGCAUCCUCCCUUUUGACUUUCAGGCAUCUCAUGGAGAUUUUUUUAUGCCUACAUGCAACUGUUUAAAACCUUUUGAUCUACUGGUUAUUUUAAUUAUUACUUUGUUCUGUUGUUAAUAGUUGUUUCUUAAUGGCACACAGCUUGUUGGACACCGCCCUGGUAUAGUAGCUGCUUUGUGCGGUCAGACACCCCAUUUGGGUGGAUCUCCUCCUCCUCACCCAGGUGAGUAAAGAAGUCAUUGCUAGGAACAGUCCUGGGCACAUGUUGGAAUUCCUGCAUUCAAAUGGCCUGAUUUAGAAGUUUUGGGAAGUGAUCUUUUACACUGGGAUUUUUGUUGGCAUCCGUCUGCCUCGGGAGACAAUGAAGGAGUGCACCUUUGGGGUGAAAUCAAACUGUUGGAAGAUUAUGGCGCCUGCUGUGGCUGUAGAGACCGAUAGGGGAGAGACAUGUUUUGCUGCAGCUGGGGCAGAUGAAGGCGUCUGGUUGUGCUGCUGCAGAUGCACCAUGGCGUUUCUUCUCUCUCUGCUCCUCCCAGAAGUCAUUCCUCCUCUGGUUACUGGUAUGGAUGUACAACCUGACUUGUCUAUCUCUAGGCACUGCAGUCGUCUACAAGGGAUUCACGCACGGCAGGGUUGAUGCUGCCAGCCUUCAUGUCACAUUUGCAGACAUCUUUAUAACGCAGAGCUGGUCUGCCUGGUGCCUGAAGCCAACUCUCUGUAGAGCACGUCCUCGGGGACCCUGCCAUCUUCCAUUCUGUGGAAACAUCACUAAGUGGGCUUGGGAGAGCAAAUCUUUCUUUGAGACUCUGUUCUGCUGUGUCUUCCAAAUCUUCCUGACACAGUGCAUGUGGAAGGCAUUGAGGUGUCGCUCUUGGCGGUUGUAAGUUGCUCAUGUCUCACUUCCAUAAAGCAUUGUGCUCAACCCAUAACCUUGGUAGACCUUCUUUCUUGGUAUUGGACAUUAGCAUCACAUUCCUUUGCAAGGCAGGAAUUCCUCCUCCUCCUCCGCCGCCUCCUCCUCCUCCUCCUCCUCCUCCUCCUCCUCCUCCUCCUCUUCUUCUUCUUUACAACGCCAUUACAGCUACUGUAUGUCAGUUCAAGUACAGUGGUACCUCAGGUUAAGAACUUAAUUCGUUCCGGAGGUCUGUUCUUAACCUGAGGUACCACUUUAGCUAACGGGGCCUCCUGCUGCCGCCGCGCCGCCAGAGCACGAUUUCUGUUCUCAUCCUGAAGCAAAGUUCUUAACCUGAGGUACUAUUUCUGGGUUAGCGGAGUCUGUAACCUGAAGAGUCUGUAACCCAAAAUACCACUGUAUCUUGCUGCACCAUCUCAUUUCUUUUUCUUUUUUUUAAAUAAUUUUCAUUAGAUUUUUUUUUACAAUUUAGAAUAUUAAUUUAUACAGCCUUAAAAUAUCAGUGACUUUCCUUCUUCUCUUUCCAUGGUUCAUUUUACAUAGCAUAAAUCCCUGCAUACAUUUUAUAUAAACUAAACCUUUCAGUAUUCCAUUAUUACUUCUAUCAAAACUUAUUUACACUGUUGAAUUUAUCUUAAUGCUGCCAACGUUUUCAAGUGUACACAAUUUCCCCCCAUAUAUUCAGUAAACAUUUUCCAAUUUUCUUUAAACGAAUAUUCUUCUUGUUCUCUUAUUCUGUACAUUAGAUCUGCAAGCUGCACAUAUUCCAUCAGUUUAAGUUGCCAUUCUUCUUUGGUCGGGACCGCACUCGUUUUCCGUUUUUGGAAACAAAACACGGGCCACCAUAGUGGCAUACAUAAAUAGCCUUUUUUUUGACACCUGGGAAUUUCCAUCUGAAUUAUCCUCAGCAAAAAGGACUCUGGUUUUUGUUGUUGUUUGUUUGGAAAGGUGCUUUUAAACAUUUUUUUCAAUUUGUUUUAAAUUAUUUCCCAAUACUCUUUUACCCUUUUACAGGUCAACCACAUUUCUCAUAACAUUCAGAACUGGUGCCUGGGUUUGCUUGCAUUCCUCUUCCCUCCUCUUUCCUUUUCCCUUUUGUGUCAGGUUUUUAAAAAAACAUUGUAAGCCUGAGGGCCGUGACUCUAUUAUCUUCAUCAAUUCAUAAGUCAUGGUUGAGAGCUUUUCUUUCUGAAGAGUGUGGUAAAAAUGCUCUGAAUGAAUGAAUGUGUUACAAUGUUAGCAUUCCAGUGAAUUGUGUUCUCUGCUUUGAUUAUAAUUACGUCUGCCAGCUUUAACUGGUUUAUUAAGUGGUUUGAAUCAACAAAGCUAAUUUAUCAGUCCUGAUUUUAAUUGGUUCAGCUGUGAAUUAAGGACACAACCCUAAUUUCCUAAGCCUUUUUUUUUUUUUUUGUCCGUUAUUGAAGUUGGGCAUGAAAAAUAAAAUCUUUAAGUGAAUUUUCCUUCUAACAAUGAUUGGUAUCAUUUGAUUGCUGUUGAAUUAUAAAUGCUUUUGACACUUCAUUCAGGAUCUCAAAAAUUAUGCCUAUUUGGGUAUAAUACAGUUUGAUUUAAAUUUAAUCCAUUAAUGAAAUAAUCCAUCAUCUGAAAGGUAGACAAUUGAUCAACUAAAAUAUUAUAGCUGAGUGACAGCUCCAGUUACACUUAAUUGAUUUUUUUAAAAUUUUAAUUAAGGCACAACCCUUCAAUUUAACUCAAAGAAACAUAAUGUAAUGCCCAGUCCCCUCCAGCUAGUUUGUAACAAAAACAUUUUUCUGUUUUAAACAGUUUUAUUUUUAUUAUUAUUCUGGGAUUCAGGGUUUCCUGGCUUAGGUCUAGGGAGCGGUUCAUUUCUUUCAUUGUCAGGUGCACUCCUGAGUAGGUAUUAAUCAGGGCAGGGAAUAAAAAGCCUGCCUAUAGGCAGGAAUAUAUUUGUGUACUAAUAAUAGUUCUGGCAUUACUUGACAAAAACCAGGGAGAGGAGAGGGAUGGAAAUCCAAGGGGAGCACAACUUCUCUGGCCCUCUAUGCUUUAGAUUCCCCCAUUGCAUAUACAGUGGUACCUCGGGUUAAGUACUUAAUUCGUUCUGGAGGUCCGUUCUUAACCUGAAACUGUUCUUAACCUGAAGCACCACUUUAGCUAAUGGGGCCUCUUGCUGCUGUCGCGCUGCCGGAGCACGAUUUCUGUUCUCAUCCUGAAGCAAAGUUCUUAACCUGAAGCACUAUUUCUGGGUUAGCAGAGUCUGUAACCUGAAGCGUCUGUAACCCGAGGUACCACUGUACAUAUUGUUAACUUUCCUGUAUUUGACACUGAAGCUAGACUUCCUUCUCCUCCAGUAAAUAAUAAAUAGGGGCUUUGUCCUUUCUAGUUGACAGUGGGUGAGAGUAGAAGGUAGAUCUGGAUCUACUGGUAAUAGAUCUCUAGGUGAUUUUCAGGAAAUCAGCAAAUAUUUCUGAUUCCAACUUAGCAACACCCAAAUUACCCCCUCCCUCUUAAUUAUACUGCUGAAAGUGUGGCGGUCACCAAAAGUUAACUCAGUUCAGUCUUGGUACUCAACAUGAAUUCUUGCGCUUGGGAUUCCUCAAUUCUAAUUUUGUCUUUUGCACCAAGCACUGUUCUAGUUAAAUCAAAGAAACCGCAAGGGAAAUUGCAGAAGCCUCAAGUCUGACCACCCCUAAUCUAAGCUGUCUUGGUCCCAUUCAGGUGUCCAGUUCCUGUUGUGGGUGCCAGAUUUAGUCGUUGGAGAAAUCCGAUGAAAAUGGAGACAGGAACAGGAACUGUUGGUGUUCACUUAUUUGUCCCAUUUCCAGAAUGCAAAUCAAUUCAGCUAAAUCGUUUGAGCUGUGAUUCCUGCAUUGCAGGAGGCUGGACUAGAUGGCCCUUGAGGUACCUUCCAACUCUACUAUUCAAUGAAUACGAUUGGUAUUUGCGGUGAUGGUUGUUUUCCGUCUGCAAUUGAUGCCGAAUUGAUUAUUUCCUCCUCUUUGCAGUGUGUUUCAUUUGCAUUGAAAUGAAUGCUACGACAAAACGACGUAACAAUAAUGCAAUUAAAGAUGUAAAAUUCUGCCAUAACAGAUGAAUACUGUAGUUUUUGUUGGAAGCUGAAUUGCAGUGGAACAGAAACAGUGCUGCAUGUGGUGAACAUGGGUCAGAAUAGAAUCAGUGCCCUAAGGCUAAGAUAGCUCAGUCAGUAGAGCAUAAGACACUUAAUCUCAGCGUUGUUGGUUUGAGCCCCGUGUUGGGCAAAAGAUUGUUGCAUUGCAGGGCUUUGGACUAGAGCAGGCAUAGGCAAACUCGGCCCUCCAGAUGUUUUGUGACUACAACUCCCAUAAUCUCUAGCUAACAGGACCAAUGGUCAGGGAUGAUGGGAGUUGUAGUUCCAAAACAUCUGGAGGUACGAGUUUGCCAAUGCCUGGACUAGAUGACCCUCAUGGUCCCUUCCAGCUCAACAGUUCUAUGCUUCUUGCAUCCUUAGUGACAAAUGUGCAAAGAAGCUAGUGAGAAUAGUUGAGCUACAUCCCAUGAAAAUAACAAAAGCCUUGGUUUAGCCUCUUGGCCAUCUGCAUGGUGCCACUUUGAAGGGAUGAGAGCUUUCUCUGCAGGGAUGGGGACCCUAAUUGAGCGAGGCAGACACAUGCACCCUUCAAACUGCUGCUGCACAGGCACCAGGUGUUAUGCGUGGCAUUCUCAUCUGCACGUCCUCACCAGGCCCCUUCAGUGUGGUUGAUUCCCUUGGAGAGUCUCACUCAAAAAAACAGGCCUCCUUGUGCUUCUUUCACUUCCAGCCUGCAAAGAGAAUAGGAGGAGGAAACAGUUGGGGCUUCCCUGUUCAAGCAGCAUGUUUUCCCCCUGAGGAUGGGUGAGGAGGGCCUUCCCCUGUAUCUGCAUUGAGUAAAUUAAAAUCCGUCUUGAUUUUAAUUUCUGGGAGGGUGGUGGAGACUUGGAAGGGAAUGGGAGCUUUUCCAGCCGUGAUGCCUUUCUAAAAGGAUUAGCAAGCCUUGAGCAAGCCUAGGGCUUUUUUCUGCACGGUGCGUUCCAUCGUUCAAACAUCCCAGGGCAUGCACACGGCCCAGCCAGUCCCUGUCCCACAAGAAAAGGCUCCUUCAUAAUUUCCUUUAUACUGGGGGGAGGAACUUGAGGAAUCAGAGAUGGGGCUUUGAUGUGUGGAGCCAUUCCCAACACUCCCCCCACCCCUCCUGACUCUGCUUGCUCACCCUUAACCCAUGUCAGGUGCCCGGCUGUAAAAGGAGCCAGGUCUGGUUCUCUUUUUACAGCUGCGUUUGAGGAAGGAAUCUCAGCACCCAGUGCUUUUCUCCCCUAUGCAUGUCAACGUUGCACACUUACCAAAACAAAAGAGGAGCCGCGGCCCAUUUUUGCAUUUGAUCAUUCCAGUAUCACAGCCUUAGCACCAUCACCCCGUCCGUUCUUUGCACUCAAGCAAAGUAAAAAUACCUGAGCUGCAGGAUUCCAAUUGGCAUGAUUUCUCUUUACUUUGCACUAACUGAGUCUGCAGUUUAAAACUGUUUUUAAAUUAAAUAAUAAAAACAAAACAUUUUUAAAAAAAUAACCACCAAAAAAUAAUAAUACAAGAUUUUACUUCGCUGGAACAUCUAGCUUCGUAUUGUCAGCUCUAAUUGGUAGUGGCUUUCCAAGGUCUUUCACACCCCUUGCUACAUGACACUUUGAAUGGGAGAUGCUGGGGAUUUAGCCUUCAGCCUUCUGCAUGCCAAGCACACGUCCUAAUUCUUAUAUCACCCAUAUGGUGUGAAAUGGCACACUUAGUGUCCAUGCGCAUGCAUUUAUACCUAUUUGCAUUAGAGACAGGAUUAGGGUUGCCAGGUUAGGAGCAUCCCUGACCCUGAGAUUUCAAGGCCCAAACCUUAGACCAGGCAUAGGCAAACUCGGUCCUCCAGAUGUUUUGGGACUACAACUCCCAUCAUCCCUAGCUAACAGGACCAGUGGUCAGGGAUGAUGGGAGUUGUAGUCCCAAAACAUCUGGAGGUACGAGUUUGCCUUUGCUUGCCUUAGACCUAGCGGAGGCCCCAUGUGAUGUCACGGGAAGGUGACUGAAAGCAAGGCCCUAUUAUCAGCACUGUCAGGUGCAUGACAGGUCUACCUCGGGACCAAGUUGAAAGGGAAGAAUCUAAUUUUGCAGAUUUAGCCAUGACUUGAGUUCAAACCAUGGCAAUGAGGGAGAGUCUUCCUUGUCCCCACAGCUUGAAUAACUUCUGCAAAAUUAGAGGGUGCUCCCAAUGCAUCCAUUUCCAUUUGUCCCCAACAUUUACUGCUAGGAAGAGUCCCAUGGAUGCAGGAGACAAAAUUGUUUUGCUUAAGGAUUGUCCACAUUUGAGCAUUAUUUAACUGCUAAUCCACCCCCUGCCCCCCAAUUCGGAUUAGGCAGUAGCAGUCCACACCCGCAGGUUUUUGAAUUUGUAUGUGAGAAGCAACUUCCAUCCUUCCUGUUCAUACCAGUAGGCUUUCUCUUUUGUGUUUGUCGCUGCCUUCUAAUCUGAUUGUUCUGUUAUGCCUGUUAAAUAACAAUAGGCAUGAGGACAGAUAGCUGUGAGCACAUAUUAUUAAUUAAUUUAUUUAGCUCCACCCCAAAACAUGUGCAAAACCAUUGCAAAGUUGCAUGUGCAAAUCUGUGGGCUCAAAAGAGGGGGAGGGGUUCAGUUCAGGAGCAAACCAGAAUUAGUUCACAAUCACAGCCAGAAAGAAAAGCCUUGAGGAAGUAGUGAGCAUAGAAAGGGGAGUGGCAGAAAGUGUUGAUGGAUCCACUUACCCCAGAACUCCAAAGCAAGGUAGCUCAGUCGGUAAAGCAUGAGACUCUUAAUCUCAGGGUUGUGGGUUUGAGCGCCACAUUGGGCAAAAGAUUCCUGCAUUGCAAGGGUUGAAUUAGGAUCCUAGUGGUCCCUGCCAACUCUACAAUUCUGUGGUUCUAAAUCACCUGUGACCCGAGUGGGACAGUUUGGAGCCCAAUUUCUCCCAUCUUAUCUUAUUAUCCCCACUAUCAGGUAAACCCAGGUUUUAAAAGAGGGCACUCAGAUUGUGAUGUUUGAGGUUGUUAUCAUGUGGACCACACAAAGUAAAUGUGAAUGCAAACAGCUGCAAACACACAGUAAACUCUGGUGUGGACACUGGACAGCUUUUCUGCUGGGCCAGCACCUCUACUACAGCUAUUUCUUUAAACUGAAAAUUCAGAUUCACGUGUUCUGGUGGUGGUAGCCAGCACACAAGCUGUGUGAGAGAAGGAUGAUUUCAAAAUUAUAGCUGCGGAACAGGACGUCUGUGGAUGAUGGAGGCGUUAAACAUAACAGACUUUUACUGUAGCCAGUAAAAGUCUAGUAUUUCUUUAACUAGCACUCCCGUUGCCCUUAAGCAUGCAAAAAUAUAUACAGGUGCUUGCUUGAUUUAUAUCCUUUCCAACAGGCUAUUCGCAAAGCACAUAAAGCUGAGCAGCUGUUUAAAUCUUUGCAGGAUCUUUGCCAUUGUUCCCUUUAGCUUUGCAGCUGUAUCAACUGAUGGCAACAGAAGGGAUUUUUAAAGAUGUUAAAAAAUGACCCCACUGAGAAAAAGCUUUACCAGUUGGAGGGCUUCAAAGCGCUUCUAGAACGUAAAGAACAGCAACAGCUUUGAAAAGCUGCAUGAAUCAUAAUAUUCCUCCACAAUGUUAUUACACACAUAUAAUUUACUUUAUUGCAGAAGAGCUUUGAAUCCCCUUUCUCAGUAGCUGUUCCCAACGAGAGUCCAGCUAAUGAAAUCAUGGUGCCAAGCAGGGAAACUUUUUUUGUACAUACUUAAAGCAUAUGUCCAUAAAGAAAUGCAGUGAACUCAGCUGACUACCCUUUCCUGUAAACGCCGUUCAUGGGAAAGAUGGGCAGGACCAAGAAAUUUCCCAAUCCCUGAACCGUUUUGCCAGCAAAAGAAGCAGCUAGCAGUUAGGGUGAGCAGAAACUGGCUUGGUCUCCUUUUUGUGACUUUUUCGGGACUUCAAAAUCACUAGGUGGUUCCCCCACCCCAACAACCGAGAGAUAAAUAGCAACUUCUGAACAUCAAAAAUGCUGUUAGUAGGGGCGGAGGAGGAAUCUGUUUUAAAUGCAUUUAUACACAGAAUUGGGUGAUUCUGACCAGUCGAGCUAAUAAUAUGCAAACAAUGCAUAUAUGUAUCAGGGAGUUAUCACGACAGAUAGAAGGAAGUUUUCAUGCAGCACAUAAACAAUGGCACUUGUCCCCAAAGGAGGCAGUGAGGGCCACCAGCUUGGAUGUCUUUAAAAGAGCAUUAGACAAAUUCAUGGAGGAGAAGGUUACUGAUGACCACUAGUCACGAUGGCUACGCUCUGCCACCAUAAGUUGGAAGUAGUAAUGUUUCUGAAAGCCUCUCCUCCUCCCAGAGGGGAGGAGUCGUGAUUGGGAGCCGUCCCCGCAUUUUGCAGGGGGCGUUCCGGCCCUUGCUUGCCGUCACUGCUGCCGCGCCGUGCUCCUGGGCAGCCAACCAAUCGAAGGGAGGCUCGGGGGCGGGGUUUAGCUGCUCAAAUGUGGCUGCGGCAGCCCUUUGCUAGAAGCCACAGUGGGAGAGAGUGUUUUAUGUUCAAAUCUUGCUUGCAGGUUUCCCAUAGGCCUCUGGUCGGCCACCAUGAGAACAAGAUGCCAGACUUGAUGGGUCAUGGGCCUGAUCCAGCAGACUCUUAAGUUCUUACAUUUUUAUGCCCUGAGUGGUACUAUAUAUUUUCAGCAAAUUCUUUAAAGUAUUAACACAUGCAUAUUUUAAUACAGCUAGAUGCAUUGUUAUAUCUGUUUAUGUGUUGGCUGAUUGAGGAAACUUUAUAGUGUCAAUGCAUAUAAAUAUGAUGUUUUUAUUUUUUAUUAUUAGUUAACUUUGUAUACCCCCCUAGGUCCCAGGGCAGUUUGCAACAGAAAAAUACAAAAUCAGAUUACAAAAUAUAUAAUAAAAAGCGAAAGCAAACCGAUACCCCGCACUCCCACGAACACAUUUUAAGAGCCCUAGUAUGUUAAUCAGCCUAAUGCCUGUUAGAAGAAAAAAGUUUUCACCUGGCGCCUAAAGACAUGUAAGGAAGGUGCCAGGUGAGCGUCCUUGGGGAGAGCAAUCCACGAAAGGGGAGCCACCGCAGAAAAGGCAUUGAGAAGUAUUCCUAUCUUUAGCAGAACUGGUCAAACAAACAAACAAACACCUCCUUGCUUCUCAUUGAGCUCAAGGAAGAGAAAGGGAUUGGGUGUGUGUGAAACUAUGUGGAUAAGCUUUCGUGUGGGUCUUCAGAAAAUUCCAUCCCUAGCUGCCAUUUGAGAAGCUGGUAACCAUAGUAGCUAACGAGCUCAUUGGCUGUUUUUUUGAUGCUGUGGUUGAAGCCCAAGGUGCAAAAUCCCAUUUCCCCAAUGUGCUGUACGGGAGAUGAUUUCUGGUGGGUGGGCUGCAAGCCAUAUUAUUCAGAUAUUUGUUUUAUAUCAUUAUAGAAGGUUCAGCCUAAUUUAGACACAAGAGGUAGGACCCUCUAGCCUAUGCCAUUUAGGGCAGUUGCUCUACUCUCUUUGCCCAGUGCUUUUUCAAAGGCCAUAAUAAACCAUAAUGUAAACAUCCACUCUGCAAUAAACACCUUUUACCACUGCCUAGUAUCAAUUAAUCUGAUAUAACUUAUUUUAUUGAGGGUUUUAGUGUGGCAUAAAAGUUGUUAGUUCACCUGUAUUCCCCAGAGGCUCCAAUGGAAAGUGUUGCAACAAUUUUCCUUCUGGAUCUGACACUUAGGCAUGGUAUAUAGGCUGCUGCAAAAAGACAUGUCAUUUCAAAGGACCUCGGAGACUUUUAAGAGCAUGAUCCAGCGGUUUCAAAUGGAGAGAUUUAAGCAUUUGCUGGAUGAUUAUCCCACUGAAAUCAUUGGGAUGUAAAACACACCCACACACCCACACCCAUCAAGCAGCAUACAUGCAAUUCCAAGGUGACACUUACUGGGCCAGAUCUGCUUAGUUUCAGCAGCAUAACCUUCCUUCAGAUCAAUAUAUGAUCUGCACAAAAUUUGGUGUUGGUCAGCAGCAACCCUAACCCCACUUACGUGAGAGUAAGACCCACUGAAUUGAAUUGAACUUAGAAGCAGACAUGGUUAGAAUUCAUCCUUAGCCAUUUUUAGCCCAUUUCACCUGCUGUUUUAUAUGAUUGGGUAGUGAGAGUGCUGUUACUUCUUACUGCUGUUAUUUUAAGAUUCCUGCUAUUGCUUUUGUUGGUUGUGAUAUUGGUUUCAUAAUUUUAAUAGAUGACUUGCAUGUUUUGAUGUUGAGUGUUUCAUUGUUUGCCCUUUUUAAUGAAAAACUGCAUUGAAGAGCCCUUUGCACCAAAUGACAAUAUUAAAAGUAAAGGACAGUUAUAAUUGCCCUUCUGAGAACCCAACUGAGACAAUAAGACAGGAGUGCUACAAUAUGGCUUCUUCUUCCACAUGGUGCCAUUUGCCAAGAGUUGACUGGGCAAGCACAGACUGUGGGUCACAAGGGAUUGCUCCCAGGUCUGUAGGUGUGCUCACACUUUCAUGGGGACACAUGUAGUCGCUAAAAGGCUCAUUUCUGAGAAUUCUCAAUAUUACUCUUAGGAUAUUUACUGGAAAUGAUUGCAUACACACAGAAUUGCAUUGACCUUGAUGACUCUGCUUAGUCUGGAUGAUUAAGAUCAAUAUUAGUGUGCUUGCUCCAGAGUAGCCCUGCAACCUAAAUUAAUAGGUGUGAAUAAAUGUAAACUGGGAAAAGAUGCAAUCCCCCAUCUUACACCAGUGCUGACUAACACAAUAAGAGCUUGCCUACCCACCACAGUGAUACUUGGAUUGCAGUGGUUCUCAACCUGUGGGUCCCCAGAUGUUGUUGGACUACAACUCCCAUCAUCCCUGAGCUCUGGCCUUGCUAGCUAGGGGUGAUGGGAGUUGUAGUUUAACAACAUCUGGGGACCCACAGGUUGAGAAAGGCUGGCUUAGAGGAAAGCCAAAUCUCACACACCAUUCUGGGGCAUGUGCAGAGUUUCAACUGAAUGGAGCUACUCAGUAACAUAGUAUGCUUACAAUAUUAUGAAGACCUGGUUAGCAUGUUGUGGGAGAUUUUGCAGUCAAACCUAACAACCCAUGUCUAUGCUAGCUAGUAAAUGUAGGUGUUAAGGACCACAGAGCUGUAAAUUGCUAGAGAAGGCUCAGCUUGGUCAUGACCCAUCAACCCCAGAGAGGGAGGACAUAACGUUUUAUUUUUCUGUUCUCUCCCUCUCUUGUCUUCUUGAACCAUGUAACUAACCAGACGUAUUAUGCUUGAGCUCCCAUGCCCAGACUCCAUGUUUAAAGAUACUUUUUGUCUUUUGUACUUAAUAACUUUUUACUUGUGUUGUUUCUGCUGUAGCAUUGAACGAUGCUUGUACUCUGGAGGAUAGGAAUCAAACCAAUGGCUUCAAGUUACAAGAAAGGAGAUUCUGACUAAACAUCAGGAAGAACUUUCUGAGAAUAAGAUCCUUGUUGUCCCUUCCAACUCUACAGUUCUAAAAUUCUAUGAUGCAUGAGUGAGACCUUUGAUUACU